rnacentral:rRNA from 1 species
GGAGUCUGGGCCGUGUCUCAGUCCCAAUGUGGCCGUCCAUCCUCUCAGACCGGCUACCGAUCGUUGCUUUGGUGGGCUCUUACCCCGCCAACUGGCUAAUCGGACGCGGGCUCAUCCCAUACCACCGUAACUUUUCUUACAGAACCAUGCGGUCCCGUAGGCUUAUGCGGUUUUAGCUCAGAUUUCUCUGAGUUAUCCCCCGGUAUGGGGCAGAUUACCCACGCGUUCCUCACCCGUCCGCCGCUAAGUUAUUAACCGAAGUCAAUAACUCCGCUCGACUUGCAUGUGUUAAGCGUGCCGCCAGCGUUCAUC